rnacentral:rRNA from 1 species
GAAUUUAAUACAAUUAGUUAAGUGAAUUUAUAAAGUUAAGAUAAUUAAUAGUAUUUAAUUGGGAGGAUUAUUAAAUUUAAUGAACUUUAAAUAAAAGUUUAAAUGUGAAUUAAUAUAAAAAUUUUUUUGAAUGAUUAUUAAAUUAAAAUAGAAUUAAUUACCUUAGGGAUAACAGCGUGAUAUUUUUAUGAAGAUCUUAUUGAUAAAAAUGAUUGC